rnacentral:rRNA from 1 species
GACGUAGGGCGCGAGCGUUGUCCGGAUUUAUUGGGCGUAAAGAGCUCGUAGGCGGUCUGUCACGUCGGCUGUGAAAACCCGGGCUCAACCCGGGCCUGCAGUCGAUACGGGCAGACUAGAGUGCGGUAGGGAGACUGGAAUUCCUGGUGUAGCGGUGAAAUGCGCAGAUAUCAGGAGGAACACCGGUGGCGAAGGCGGGUCUCUGGGCCGUAACUGACGCUGAGGAGCGAAAGCGUGGGGAGCGAACAGG